rnacentral:lncRNA from 1 species
UUGCAGACACAGCUCGGGGGGCUGGAAGAGGCCAGCGUGGGGCAGUGCACCCUGGGGGGCACCGAGGGAAAUCGGAGCAACAGCUGCUGGUGGCCACGUCCCUCAUCCUUCUGCCUCCUGCUCCUUGGAGCACCUCACCACAACAAGGACACGAGGAGCUUCGGGUCAUCGGCUGAAAAAAAACCCCAGGACCAUCCAGGUGAGGUGGUGCUGAGCUGUCCCUCCCAGCGGGGGACCCGGGAGAGGCUGUGCCCUGUUCCUGCUGCUCGGGGGGCUGGAAGGGGCUGGGGGCAGCGGGGUGGGGGAGCAGGGCAGAGCCCUGCCCCUGCUGCGCGCAGGCGGCUGCCGGGGGGAGCAGGAGCCCCUCGCGGUGGGAACGAGGAGGCGUCCGCAGGUCAUUUCAGCAUGUUGUCCCAGUCAAAUAUUUGUCUAGUUAAUAAAUAUAUUGUUGUUUUUUUCAGCGAGGAAAUGAGGAGACUGCAAAGAAAAAUAAUGAAAGGCCUUUCUUGUGCAGUCCUGCUCGGCACGAACCGGGAUCAGGCCCUCCUCCUUCUCCUUGGCCCUCACGCUAUAAGAAACCCUGCUGCGGAUUUCACAACGGCGUGAUUGACAAGAUUAGAAAUUAUCUCCCCCUCUCUCUACAUAUAAGGUUACUGCCGCUCCAGGCACAGUGUGAAAUUCCCCUUGCCGGAGCUCAUUAAAUGGGUCAAUGGACGCGUUCCAGCUUCUCUGCAGUUCACAAAGGGCUGAGUCCUGGCCACCCCACCAAACUCUGUCCCAGGCUGUUGACGAGUAAGUGCUUCCAUAUGGCUCACCUCAGCAUCUCCAGAAAGAUAACAGAGAGUUAAUGGCUUGCAGAUUCCACGGAUGCUCGUCGCGAGACGUGCGGAGGAACCGGGGGCUCUGGGCUGCAUUCAAUCACAGCUGAUUGGGAGCGAGGGGACCGCAGGCUCCCUGCCACCAGCUGUCCCCACAGACCUUCCCCUCGGGGACAGGGGCAGGACGUUCACACAGCUGCUGGGGGAACAUGGGCAGAGCAGAGGGAAGGGCUGGUGGGCUGGCUCUGAGGUUACGUGGUGUCCUCACGGCCCUGGGACAAGCAGCAGUGAGAUCCUGGUCUGACACUGGAGGCACCCGUGGCCCUUUAGAUAUCCGCAGGCCUGAAGCCACUGAUGAAGUUUUGGUGACGUGAAGCUGGGGAACACAGCGAAAGCAUUCCUUUUUUUGCCCUUUCUCUUUCUUUUUUUUUUUUUUUUUUUUUUUUUCUUUUUCUUUUUUUUUUCUUUUUUCUUUUUUUAUGGCACUUCAGUGAAGAGAUGGCUUCUCCAAACCAUAUCUGUCACAAGGAAUGAUUUACAAAUCUCUCCCUGGCGUCCCUUCCCUCUGUGAGUCCACCUGCAGACUGCAUGGCAGGGAGCUCAUCCUGCAGCUCCUGCUCGUGCCACCGGCUACGAUCCCGGUGGUCCCGCUCCUGGGGGGCAGCCGGGUGGCUCCAUCACCCAUGCCACGGCGAGGAUGUCAAAUGCACCCAAACGCACCGCUCCCAACAUUUCUGCUGAAUAUCUGAGUACAGAAUUUAUAUUUAAUGAGUGUGCGUGCUGGGGAA